GAGCGCGGCCGGCGCUCCAGCGGUCGGCAUGGCAGCUGCUACCUCGCUGGGACAGGCUCUGGGCCCACGCGUGCCGCGCAGUCCCUACAGAACUGCAGUUGUCUUGUCUUCUCGGAGUGCUUUCGGCUACUUUUCCCUUAUUACUUUAGCUCGAUACACGUUGGGCUGCCUUUCACAUUCGGAUAUUACGCUGUUCGAGUGCUGACGGGAAAGGCAGCCCUUUGACACGCACGCGAAAUGUCGCCUGACGAGGGCAAAGGAACGACUCGGCGCGCGCGCGGGAGCGAGCUUUGAAAGUUGAGCACGGCGGCGGCGAGCCGGUGCCCUGGGAUCAUGGUGGCGUUGCGGGGCCUUGGUAGCGGCCUGCAGCCCUGGUGUCCGCUGGAUCUUAGACUCGAAUGGGUUGACACAGUGUGGGAACUGGAUUUCACAGAGACUGAGCCUUUGGAUCCCAGCAUAGAAGCAGAGAUCAUAGAGACUGGAUUGGCUGCAUUCACAAAACUCUAUGAAAGCCUUUUACCCUUUGCUACUGGAGAACAUGGAUCUAUGGAGGUA
rnacentral:lncRNA from 1 species